rnacentral:rRNA from 1 species
CUUAAAUUGAAGAGUUUGAUCAUGGCUCAGAUUGAACGCUGGCGGCAGGCCUAACACAUGCAAGUCGAGCGGAAACGAGUUAUCAGAACCUUCGGGGGACGAUAACGGCGUCGAGCG